CGGGAGGUAUCGCCAGUUCACAGGCUCACAAUUCAGAAAUGUAUUCAUUGAUGUUGAUAUGGCACCAAAUCAGCAAAUAGGUCUUUUCAAACGAUACAUCGAGAAAACGCGACCACAUUUUUGUCUCUGAAUUGGUGAUGUGUCAUGCGAACGCUAUCUUGCCAAGAAAAUUACAUACUGGAUAGUGAGGACAGAAGGGUGUCUUGUCUCGCUUGGAAGAGACAGAAUGUACGCGAACCACGAGAAAAGAUACUCUUAGAGACAUGAGUAUACCAUCUGUAAAAGCGACUUCAUCGCUGUCACCUUGGGUACGCACGAAGAUUUACCAGUCUCAGGUCGGUCGAUACCAAUGCCUUUGUGUAAACCGCUAUCUUGUUUGUCCGCUUGUAAUUUAUUUGUGUUUGCAUGAUAUAUAGAUUAUUUUUAAUGCCUUUCAGUCUUGCUUUUGUUUUGUGUUAGGCUGUCAUCUGUUUCAAUUUUUGAUACCCCUCUAUGGUUUGUAUUCAGAGCUUUACCGCUCUGAGGCGCUGGUCGUUCUCGUUGCGCUUUAACCGCUCCAACUGAGCGAUGUCUUUACGGUUCGCGCGAAAAGUCUGCUCGAAGGUAUCUAUUGAAGAACGGUGCACUUAUCUUCGGGAAUGGCCAAUGAGAAAGGGGGCACAGCAAUGCACCGCAUAUUGUCUCUCAUACGAUUAAAUUGAAGCGAAAAAAGCCUUGAUCUAUGCGAAUACGCUUUCAGUUGUAAAAAUUGGGAGGAAACGUGUGUUUGUUGAUAUUUGAAUGGACUGAGAUGGCGUUCUGACUCACUGCUGGGAAGAUUAGAGUAUGAAUUUGAGAGUUGGGAUAAAAGUGGCGAAUAUAAUUCAAUCGGAGUAGUCGAAGACCAUAUAUAGCGUUUGACUACAUCCGAGGAGGGCGAUGUAUGGAGCAGAUCGAUGAUCUGUAAAGUUCACACACAAAAAAGUGGUGUGGCGAGUUUUUUUUGCUUCAUUUGAAGUCUCAAUAACACAAACACAAACCAAAUGUUUUUUUUUUACAGUUCUGGGGUACUGCUCCAAGUUCCAAGGUGUAGAUAGAGUUUGGUGAGGUCAUGAAGCAUGGAUGUACCCUUAUCAGCUCGGUGGACAUCGGUACAUUACAGAAGUUUGAAGAUGACAGGUUGUCGGAUACUAUGUUAGGAAAAGAUGCCGCACCGAGUGACAAGGUGGAUGAAGACUCUCGGAAAAAUAUGUAUGGAAGGAGAAACGUUUAUGACAUUUUGUCUGGUGCAUUUAGUGGUGGUAUUACUAGGUUAUUCAUAGCUCCACUGGAUGUCAUCAAAAUUCGGUUUCAGGUUCAGAGGAGGAAUGUACCCGAUAGGAGACAGGCGGCAUAUGUACCGAACUAUUACUACAAUUCCAUUUUUCAUUGUAUCAAAACAGUUAUAAAGAAAGAAGGGGCACUGGCGUUUUGGCAUGGAAAUUUGCUGGCAGAAUUAUUAUACAUAACAUAUAUUAGUUUUCAAUUUGGGUUUUAUCAGAUUAUACGAGAUACGGCGCUGAAUCUAUUUCCGCAGGUUUCUGAAGAAUCAAAAUUGCAGGCUGCCUCUUCAAGGCAUUUUUUUCAUCGAGACAAUUCUAAUAUAAUGACGACGAUAUCUUUUUUAAGUGGGAGCCUUUCAGCGUUUUUAUCGAUUACGAUUAGCUAUCCGUUGGAUUUGUUGAGGACCCGCUAUGCAGUGCAAUACCCGCCUGUAUACACAUCAAUAUUGGAUACGUUUAGAAAGAUUUACCAGAAAGAAAGGUGCAGGGGGUUGUACCACGGAUGGAGUCUGACCGCGAUGUCAUUGGUGCCAUCGAUGGGUAUUCAGUUUGGCGUAUAUGAUCAGAUCAAAAGGACGUGGUUCAGGGAAAAACAGGAAGAUUUGUUUGGGCAUGUUGUUUCUGGUUCUAUUGCUGGAGUUGCAGCCAAGAUAUCUGUUCUUCCGCUGGAUGUGUUGAAGAAGAGGGCCCAAACGUGGGGAUUUAGGCAGAAUAAUGGAGCUUCGGUGGAAAGAGUUGGCGAAAUACCUAUGCCGAGUGUGAGGGAAAUUGCUAUGAACGUAUACAAGUAUGAGGGUAUGAGGGCGUUUUACAAGGGAAUGGUACCGUCUGUACUCAAGGCGUCUUUGGGUGCUGCAUUGACGUUUGCCAUUUAUGAAGAAACAAAAAAAGUUUUGGCCAAAUUUGAGUGAAAAAAAUCAGGUUUUACUGGGUCACUUUCAAGUUCUGAAGAAUUUUGAUGGAUUCUUCUGGAAGGGAAUACGAUUCAUUGCUCAAGAUAUGCUCUGAAAAUGACAGAAAAACGUCAGGCUGCUCCGAGGAAUGAACGCGGACACGAGCGAUCAGAUAGAUGAUUGGAAUAAGAAAGGCACGAGAGAAGGGAGGUGAGAUGAUAUCAAGAAGACACGUUAGGAAGUGUCUUGUUAGAGAAGGAUCUAUGGUUGGGGCCCAUUUUUCUAUUUGCGAGAUGACAGGCAUGACGUAUCCACAUUCCACCAGAUAGACAAGAGUCUCGACCAUCAGUUUUUUGAGGUUCAAGGCGUCUAGAGGUCCGAGUGAGGGAUCAGUUUCAAACCCCGAAAUCAAGACUUGAAGUGCCUCGAAGCGUUGAAGGGGAUGUGUGGCAACGAUUUCUCGCCAUAUGGCCAAUUGUGUGGACAGUGACUUAGUAUUCCAGGAGGUUGCGAGUCGAUCUGGAUCAGAGAUGUUGACGCGGAUCCAAUGCAAGACGCCGAUACUGAUAACGGGAUGGGGUAGAAAUUCUAGAAUUUGAUCAGAUGGUGAACCAGCAAGUUCGAAUCCAAAGUAAUUUUUUUGGCAGAUGGCUUGUACUACGUUGAUAGAUGAAGCGACCGCGUCAACUGUAUCAUUCAUGCCGUUAAAGAAACUGAUGUCAGGAACCUCGGAGGAACGAAAGGUCACCGAUCUCGGGUCUUUCGAGCAAGAUGCAUAAGCAAGAAUCCAACAGUAAUAAUAAACAAAAUCAGGAGAAACUUGUUUUAUCGGAUCAAACAAUUCGACCACAAGUUUCCGAAGCAAAUUUUGAUCUCGAAGAUAUUCAACUGGUGGCGGUAAUGCAGACUCUAAAGAAUAAUUUGAAAAAGAGGACGAUAACUUCUCCGAAUACGCCUGAUACAGCUUUCUGACAUCUGCGGAACUAGGUGUCUCGCUGAGCAAAAUGGCCUGAAUGCUCGAAUGUACAACGGAGUAAUCAUGGAUAUUCAAUAAAUGAAACUUGAUUCCCUGAGCUAUCUGAGCUAUUUCCGAACUCAUACCAGAUCCAUCAUCGUCCUCUUCCCAGCCUCUAGACCUUCUAAUCUCAUCCAAUUGCUGAGCUAUACGCUUCACUCGGUGACCACCCGGUCUGUCAAAUAAACUAUACAAAAUAGCGUGUGUAUACAAAAACGUAUGCUCCGCAUGAUCGCAUAACUUGGAAAAUCUGGUCAAUCUUUCUGUUAAUUCGCUCUCACUUUCAGCUUCCAAUGCCUUCCUAAUAGUGUUCAUCAUAAGCCUAUUAUACACGCUAAAAUAAGUCGCCGCCAGCGGCAAAGAGGCGAUCUCGUCGUCGUAACCUGUCAAAGAUAUUCUUUGAAUCCCAAAAUUCAAAAAUAAACAAUCGCGAUUCUUCUCACUCAA